GACGAACGCUGGCGGCGUGCCUAAUACAUGCAAGUAGAACGCUGAAGAGAGGAGCUUGCUCUUCUUGGAUGAGUUGCGAACGGGUGAGUAACGCGUAGGUAACCUGCCUUGUAGCGGGGGAUAACUAUUGGAAACGAUAGCUAAUACCGCAUAACAAUGGAUGACACAUGUCAUUUAUUUGAAAGGGGCAAUUGCUCCACUACAAGAUGGACCUGCGUUGUAUUAGCUAGUAGGUGAGGUAACGGCUCACCUAGGCGACGAUACAUAGCCGACCUGAGAGGGUGAUCGGCCACACUGGGACUGAGACACGGCCCAGACUCUACGGGAGCAGCAGUAGGGAAUCUUCGGCAAUGGGGGCAACCCCUGACCGAGCAACGCCGCGUGAGUGAAGAAGGUUUUCGGAUCGUAAAGCUCUGUUGUAAGUCAAGAACGAGUGUGAGAGUGGAAAGUUCACACUGUGACGGUAGCUUA
rnacentral:rRNA from 1 species